rnacentral:rRNA from 1 species
GACGAACGCUGGCGGCGUGCUUAACACAUGCAAGUCGAACGGAAAGGCCCUGCUUGCCGGGUACUCGAGUGGCGAACGGGUGAGUAACACGUGGGUGAUCUGCCCUGCACUUCGGGAUAAGCCUGGGAAACUGGGUCUAAUACCGGAUAGGAGCCAUUUUUAGUGUGAUGGUUGGAAAGUUUUUUCGGUGUAGGAUGAGCUCGCGGCCUAUCAGCUUGUUGGUGGGGUAAUGGCCUACCAAGGCGGCGACGGGUAGCCGGCCUGAGAGGGUGGACGGCCACAUUGGGACUGAGAUACGGCCCAGACUCCUACGGGAGGCAGCAGUGGGGAAGAUUGCACAAUGGGCGCAAGCCUGAUGCAGCGACGCCGCGUGGGGGAGGACGGCCUUCGGGUUGUAAACUCCUUUCGCUAGGGACGAAGCUUUUUGUGACAGUACCUAGAUAAGAAGCACCGGCUAACUACGUG